rnacentral:pre_miRNA from 1 species
AAUAAGUGCAGCCAUGAGUUUUCGCGUCCAACUUUGAUCGUCCGUCUUAUUUAAAAUUUUUUUAUAAUUAGCAUUUUUGUUAUUAUGAGAUGAUAAAACAUGAAUAGUACUUUCCUCGUGACUUAUGUUUUUAAUUUUUUUAAAAAAAUUUUAAAUAAGACGAACGAUCAAAGUUGGACGCGGAAAACUAUGGCUGCACUUAUU